GGGAGAGUAGCUCAAUGGUAGAGCAUGUGCUUAACAUUUAUACAGACUUGAGUUCAAUCCCCAACACUCCAA
rnacentral:tRNA from 1 species